GGACCCGACUGCUAUCGGGGUAGGGCUAAGCCAUGGAAGUCGAACGCCCCGCCGCUGCGGGGCGUGGCGCACGGCUGAGUAACACGUGGCUAACCUACCCUCGGGAGGGGGAUAACCUCUCGGGAAACUGGGGCUAAUCCCCCAUAGGCGGGGAGGCCUGGAAAGGUUCCCCGCCAAAAGGGGGCGCAGAGGGCCAUCGCCUGCGCUCCGCCCGAGGAUGGGGCUGCGGCCUAUCAGGUAGUUGGCGGGGUAACGGCCCGCCAAGCCGAAGACGGGUAGGGGCCGUGAGAGCGGGAGCCCCCAGAUGGGCACUGAGACAAGGGCCCAGGCCCUACGGGGCGCACCAGGCGCGAAAACUCCGCAAUGCGGGAAACCGUGACGGGGCUACCCCGAGUGCCCCCCUUGUGGGGGCUUUUCCCCGCUGUAAGAAGGCGGGGGAAUAAGCGGGGGGCAAGUCUGGUGUCAGCCGCCGCGGUAAUACCAGCCCCGCGAGACCGGGGCCCUAAACAAGCCCCGGCGCGACUGGUCGGGGUGAUUACUGGGCCUAAAGCGGCCGUAGCCGGCCCGGUAAGUCCUCCCUGAAAGUCUCGGGCUCAACCCGAGAAGCGGGGGGAUACUGCCGGGCUAGGGGGCGGGAGAGGCCGAGGGUACUCCCGGGGUAGGGGCGAAAUCCUAUAAUCCCGGGAGGACCACUAGUGGCGAAGGCGCUCGGCUGGAACGCGCCCGACGGUGAGGGCCGAAAGCCGGGGGAGCGAACCGGAUUAGAUACCCGGGUAGGCACAUGCCGCGGAUGACUUCUCGGAUAUAGCUGGUUUGUAUGUCUGUAAGUUUACUGAGAUAAUUCCUACAGAUUGUUCCCGCGGCGGUGCCCCGGAGAGUCUCGGCUGUAAACGAUGCGGCUAGGUGUUGGGCGGU
rnacentral:rRNA from 1 species